rnacentral:lncRNA from 1 species
CUCCACCAGGGCUCGUCUUCCCUUAGGCUGUAAUUUUGUUAUUCACAUUGCAAUUUUUAUCUCUGAUCCUUAAACCUCUUAUUUUACUAUUGUUUUUUCUAGAUCAACUUUACAAACUUAAUCUAAACAGAUCAACGUGUUGUUUUUGGUGCAGUGUUUGCUCAUAUAGUGUUCAAACCAUUUCCAUUGUUGCCUUAAAUUCUGGUUUGUUUGAUACCUUACUGCUGCGGUUAGUUUUGCCAUUUCGACGAAUUCUGUUAAUUUGUUUAGCCAAUCUUCUUUUGUGAGGAUGUGAUUUCCUUUCCAGUAGGAGCCUUGCUGCGGCAGUAGCGUAUAAAAAUAGUGUUUUCCUGUCUUGUGGUAUAUCCUUGCCCAGUAUACUCAAUAAAUAAGCCUCUGGGUUUUUUCCUAUAGAGAUUUUGAGCAUCUUUUUAAAUUCCUCGUUAAAUUCAACUGCCCAAAUUUUUAACUCUUCCACAGCCCCACCAUGAGUUCAUCACAGUACCCUCCACCUCCUUACAUUUCCAACAAAGACUGGAUUUUGACUUGCCUAUUUUGGCAAGCUUUGUGAAAUUUAUUUCCUUCACCACACGGUCUGAGGGGAGGUUACAACAAUAUAAAAAUGCAACCUUGAAAUAAGUUGGGACAAUUGACAAUCGCAAGAAUAGGGUGGGCCUUAAAAUAGGUAGCAUGUGGUUCCUCCAGCCUGUCGGGAGAGGGACGUUCACCUGCAAAGAGGGACGCCUGCUAUGGAGACCCUCUCUUGAAGGUAGAGGGCCUCUUGCUCUGGCUGCCCUGCUAGCAGUGAGGGCAUAAAGGAGCCAUGGCCUCGGUCCAGUAUAUCUGAAGGAGCAUCUCCAUCCCCAUCGUUCUGCCUGGACACUGAGGUCCAGCUCCGAGGGCCUUCUGGCGGUUCCCUCACUGCGAGAGGCCAAGUUACAGGGAACCAGGCAGAGGGCCUUCUCGGUAGUGGCGCCCUCCCUGUGGUACGCCCUCCCACCAGAUGUCAAAGAGAACAACUACUACCAAACUUUUAGAAGACAUCUGAAGGCAGCCCUGUUCAGGGAAGCUUUGAAUGUUUGAUGCAUUACUUUGAACGUUUGAUGCAUUACUGAUGCAUGCAGUGGUACCUCGGAUUACACAAGCUUCAGGUUACAGACUCCGCUAACCCAGAAAUAGUGCUUCAGGUUAAGAACUUUGCUUCAGGAUGAGAACAGAAAUCGUGCUCUGGUGGCACGGCGGCAGCAGGAGGCCCCAUUAGCUAAAGUGGUGCUUCAGGUUAAGAACAGUUUCAGGUUAAGUACGGACCUCCAGAACGAAUUAAGUACUUAACCCGAGGUACCACUGUAUUUGGUUGGAAGCCGCCCAGAGUGGCUGGGGAAGCCCAGCCAGAUGGGCAGGGUAUAAAGAAUAAAUUAUUAUUAUUAUUAUUAUUAUUAUUAUUAUUAUUAUUAUUAUUCUGGGGGAUUGCCAGGGGUGGAAGGCAAAAGGCUUUGGUUCCCCCAGUAGGCACAGAAAGCCUUGGAACUGGGGUGGUUGUUUUGCUUCCCUUUCAAAAGAAUGGGACUUCUUGCUGAGAUAGCCACCUCCUUACUGUCCUUUCGCAUCCAGGGGGGAAAGGAUUUAAAAGGGGGUGGAGUGGGGGACUCUGAGCAAAUGGACAUUUCCGCCAAUGAACCAAUGAAGGCCGAGGAAGAGAAACCAGUGGAGUGAUGCCCCCAAAUCUAUGAGGGAAUGGGUGGAGUUGGAGAAAGCACACAGUGAUUCAUCAUCUCCCAUGGACCAGGUGAGUGCAACGGUGGGGAAAUGGCCAAAGUUAAGCAGACCACUGGGGAGGUUUACUUUGACCCACAAAUUGGAAGAUCCCCUUUCGGUUGCCUGGGAUUUGCUGCUGUUUGUGCCCCAAUGCCUGGGUUCCGGUGUCCCUGGAGACGCCAGAGAAUUCAAAUGCGAUGCCUCAGAAGCAAAGCAGUUAUGGCAGUUGAAUUCAGUUGAAGCAGCUUCAGCCAAAGUAGCUUCAGAAGCAGCUUCAGGAGAACUAGGAUGAUGGUAAAGGGACCCCUGACCAUUAGGUCCAGUCGUGACCGACUCUGGGGUUGCGGCGCUCAUCUCGCUUUAUUGGCCGAGGGAGCCGGCGUACAGCUUCCGGGUCAUGUGGCCAGAAUGACUAAGCCGCUUCUGGCGAACCAGAGCAGCGCACGGAAACGCCGUUUACCUUCCCGCCGGAGCGGUACCUAUUUAUCUACUUGCACUUUGACGUGCUUUCGAACUGCUAGGUUGGCAGGAGCAGGGACCGAGCAACGGGAGCUCACCCCGUCGCAGGGAUUCGAACCGCCGACCUUCUGAUCGGCAAGUCCUAGGCUCUGUGGUUUAACCCACAGCGCCACCCGCGUCCCUAGGAUGAUGGUAUGCCUCACAAAUACAUCACCCCAGAAUUAGCAUUUGAGGAAGGGAUAGCCCAUCUCUUCCUGCCUUUAUCUGUUUAUCUCCUGAUCCUUCUCCUCAGGUCCCUUCUGAGCCUUCAUCUCCACGAGCUCACAAACCUGGUAGCACAUAGCAUCCUUAGGCAGCUACUCGGGUCCCCACUUGCAACGAGUCCCCACUGCUGUGCCAUUAUCUUGCCCCUCAGUCCUGGAGUGUUGGGGAGUUUGGAGCCAUCGUUUUAACUUUCCACACUGUGCUGAGAAAUUGGUUACGCCAGCAGGGCUAGGAAGCCCAUAGUCCUUUUUGUCAGCGACAUCCCAGCGGGUAUAUCAUCUAGGGUCGCCAUACUUCAAUAAGUAAAAAUCAGGACACAAAAGUUGUUGCGCUUUUCUGGGGAAAGUUUCAAAGAAAACCCCAGACAUUUUACUGCUUUCUCAAAAUUCCCCAUGGACGCUAAUUCUGUCACUGGGAUCCUGGACGUGUCUGGGAAAAUCCGGAUCGUAUCAAUCAAUGUAUGGCAUAUGGCAACCCCAUUAUAUCUCACAAGCUGCCUUGUGCUCCCCUGUUAAUCAUCUUCUUGGAACUACUGGUUUAUGGAGCGCUGGCUAUAGCCAAGGGAGUUUAGCAGAAUAUGGGAUGGGCAGAGAGAGGCAGGUCCCUGCCCCACAGAGCAUACAGUAUUAAUAAUAAAUUAUUUUUAGAGAAAAAUAACUACCAAACUUUUAGAAGACAUCUGAAGGCAGCCCUGUUUAGGGAAGCUUUUAUUGUUUAAUAGGUUAUUGUAUUUUAGUGUUCUGUUGGAAGCCGCCCAGAGUGGCUGGGGAACCCAGCCAGAUGGGCGGGGUAUAAAAAAUAAAUUAUUAUUAUCCCCCCCCAAUGCUAAGGAAGGACUUAGUUCUUUUCUAGCAUCCUCUGGCUCUAGAUCCUGCCUUCCAUGGCAAGUUUAUCACUUUUUCUCCUGCUACCUACACCUUCCCUCUUUGCAGGCGAUAGUGUUUGGCCAGCGGGCACCGAAGACAACACCGCCCCCCCUGGCUCCUCUGGUGAGAAAAUAGCCUCAUUGCACUUUAAUUAUUAGCUGCUAUUUAUUUAUUAAAAAUGGUUUUAGACUCUUCUCUCAUACAAAAAAAUCAAGGUGCUGUACAACAAAAUAUACAGUAAAUCAUAAGGACAUCCCUGAUUUAGAGAAGCCGUCCCAGUUUCUUAUUUGAUCUCUGAAUGUCCCAUUUCCCCCUAGGAUGUCCCUAUUUGUCAGGACACUGACAAACUGGAACGUGUCCAGAGGAGGGCAACCAAAAUGGUCAAAGGCCUGGAAACGAUGCCUUAGGAGGAACGGCUAAGGGAGCUGGGCAUGUUUAGCCUGGAGAAGAGGAGGUUAAGGGGUGAUAUGAUAGCCAUGUUCAAAUAUAUAAAAGGAUGUCACAUAGAGGAGGGAGAAAGGUUGUUUUCUGCUGCUCCAGAGAAGCGGACACGGAGCAAUGGAUCCAAACUACAAGAAAGAAGAUUCCACCUAAAGAUUAGGAAGAACUUCCUGACAGUAAGAGCUGUUCGACAGUGGAAUUUGCUGCCAAGGAGUGUGGUGGAGUCUCCUUCUUUGGAGGUCUUUAAGCAGAGGCUUGACAACCAUAUGUCAGGAGUGCUCUGAUGGUGUUUCCUGCUUGGCAGGGGGUUGGACUCGAUGGCCCUUGUGGUCUCUUCUAACUCUAUGAUUCUAUGAUUCUAUUUGUACUGGAGAAAUGUUGGAGGGUAUGGUAGGAUGUCCCUAUUUUCAUUGGAGAUUUAAAAAAUAAUAAUAAUGUUUUUUAUUACCGUUAGUUUUCAUUUGCAGAUCAAUAACAGUCUCAUGAUGACAAUACCAAUAUAUAAUACAAUUAUUAAUACCAAUCAUUCAAAUAUCCAAUUAUAUAAUUUAGAUAAAGUGGGGCCCUGUGUGCUAGAUUUGAUAUUUUGAUGGUUUUCUUUAUUUCCGCACUCCAAAAUCUUAUUCGUUUCAAUUACAUUCCGGUCAUAAUAAUAACCCCUUAUACAACAACUGCAAUAUUGAUAAGGUCUAUUUGUGUGUUGACACAUUAAAUGAUUUAUAACACUGCAAGUGAGGAACUCAAACUAUAUCCUUGUUCUUCCUGGGUGUAGACACACCUGCAGGCCACAGAGAGGGAUGUCUGAAGAAGUGGGGAUCCUCUCUUGACAGGAGCUUCUGCUGCUCUUGCUGCCCCACCAGCAGCCAAGGCAGAAAGGAGGCUGGGGAAACCCAGCCAGAUGGGCAGGGUACAGAUAACAACAAUAAAAUGCCAGGAGAUUGUCAGGGGUGAAUUUGGGAAGCAGGAAGCAGACACAGGCAAAGUUAGGAUCCAGGCAUGCUUCUAGCUCCACAGAUUUUAGCCACAGAAAUACUCAGAAGGUGUGUGUUUUUUUCUUUGUUCCUUCUGCUCUACACAGGAAAUUGCACCAAGGAGCGAAGUGUAUGGCUGGGACUGAAGGGAAGUUCUGCUUCUGCACAUAACUGUGGCAUUAUGGGAAGUCCUGCUUCUUUUCUCUGGCAUCAUGGGAAGUCUCGCUUCUAAGCUUUUCUCUGCUUCUGUACAUACUGUACAACCCGUUCUAAAUACCUAGACAUUCCCUCAUUUCCCUAGGAUGCUCAGUUCAUCUUAAGUUCAUGAAAACAUUACACUCUGACCUGUUCUUAAUGCAUAGCUGACCACAUCUAUGGAACUCGAUUAUUAUAUUCUUUCAUGUUAUGGUCAAUCAUUAGUAAUUGUUUUAGUCAUGCUAUAUCAAUCAUUAGUUAUAAUUUAAUUAGGAGGUUUCAUGCCUGUCUAGUUCUGUGCUCCCUUUCCCAGCCUUUAAUCUAUUGGUGAUUAAUGCCUAUACGUAACCCUUGCUUUGUACUUGUGUUAACCAAUCAGCAACAAGUUGCUUUGUGUUUGUAUCAACCAAUCAGCAACGAGCGCACCUGUGGCAAUGUUGUAAUAUUCAAUAAAAGAGUCUUCUCGGGGCUUGCUCCAGAGAUGCCUCUCACAUGACACCUGCUACUCGUCUGUCGUUACUGCGAUCCAACACGGGACCUGUCAGCACCCUCUUUCUCCAGGCUCCGCUUAUCCCUGUCCCCCAAACCCAAAACAUCCCUCCAUGAUCCCCCAAACCACCUGCCCGCCCCAUCUCUCGGGUUCCUGUCCCCCACAUCCCAAAAAUAUUCCUUCCCACCCGGCAAAAACCUAUAAUUCAUACCCCACAAGUUUCCACCCUCCGCACUUCUCAAGAACCCCCCUGCUCCACCCCUGACGACCGCCCCUUAUAAUUAAGCCCUCUCUCCCACUUAAACCCACCAUUACCCUUCUGAUCCCACCCUAAAACCUGAUUUCUUCCUCCUUGUCCCCCUCUCCCUCGAUCCACACUGUAUCCGCCUCCCUUCUGCUCUCCCCCAAAAAUAUCCCCCUCCCCCACGAGUCCCCCUCAGAAAUUGUUCCAUUCUUAUGCUCCCUCUCCCUUCAGCCCACUCUGGAAUAUGCCCCUGUUAUGUUAAGGAAAAAUCUAGGUGUGAGGCUGCUCAGUCACCCAGCUCUUCGGGCAGAGCCCGUGGGUCCCUGCAGAAUAAAGGAAGGAGUCCAGCUAACCAGAGCAAAUAGCUGAUGGGAAGUUAUGUUAUGUUCUUUUAAGUUUUGCAAUAUCAAUCACUAGUAAUAGUUUAAUAAGGAGGUUUUCAUACCUGUCCAACCAUGUGUUCCCUUUCCCAACCUUUAAUCUAUUGAUGAUUAAUGCCUAUAUGCAACCCUUGCAUUGUAUUUGUGUUAACCAAUCAGCAACAAGCACAUAUGUGGCAAUGCUGUAAUAUUCAAUAAAAGGGACUCCCCGACACAUGCUCGGGAGAUGCCUCCCAUAUGACACUUGUCAUUCGUCUGUCGUUUAUUUCAACCCAACAAAUAGCUGUAGACCAAAGUUUAUUGCGCAAUAGGUUCAAAGAGCAAAUUUGAACCCUGAGGAUGGGGUGACAAAGACUUUUAAAACUUUCCCACCACAUCCCAGAAUACAGUUCGAAGGGGAGGGGUUAACCUUGGCAAACAUGUCCAGACAAGUCCUUGGUACAAGAUUAGCAUAAGCCGACAUGGCAGGGCAAGACUCGGGUAUAAGAUGAG